GACGAACGCUGGCGGCGUGCCUAAUACAUGCAAGUCGAACGCUUUUUCUUUCACCGGAGCUUGCUCCACCGAAAGAAAAAGAGUGGCGAACGGGUGAGUAACACGUGGGUAACCUGCCCAUCAGAAGGGGAUAACACUUGGAAACAGGUGCUAAUACCGUAUAACACUAUUUUCCGCAUGGAAGAAAGUUGAAAGGCGCUUUUGCGUCACUGAUGGAUGGACCCGCGGUGCAUUAGCUAGUUGGUGAGGUAACGGCUCACCAAGGCAACGAUGCAUAGCCGACCUGAGAGGGUGAUCGGCCACACUGGGACUGAGACACGGCCCAGACUCCUACGGGAGGCAGCAGUAGGGAAUCUUCGGCAAUGGACGAAAGUCUGACCGAGCAACGCCGCGUGAGUGAAGAAGGUUUUCGGAUCGUAAAACUCUGUUGUUAGAGAAGAACAAGGAUGAGAGUAAAACGUUCAUC
rnacentral:rRNA from 1 species